rnacentral:rRNA from 1 species
UACGAAGGGGGCUAGCGUUGUUCGGAUUUACUGGGCGUAAAGCGCACGUAGGCGGAUCGUUAAGUUAGGGGUGAAAUCCUGGAGCUCAACUCCAGAACUGCCUCUAAUACUGGCGAUCUAGAGUCCGGAAGAGGUGAGUGGAACUCCUAGUGUAGAGGUGGAAUUCGUAGAUAUUAGGAAGAACACCAGUGGCGAAGGCGGCCUCACUGG